GACGUCGUUACCCUUAAAGAGGCAGUGCCUUCUUCCCCCACCCUGCUCCCAGACAUCCCUACAGCAACCUGGGCCUGGCGAUACACAGAGAAGCCAGAUGCAUGCAAGAAGACAAGGGCCAUGAGAGCAGACGAAGUGACCAGUCUAGGACAGAGACCCACGAUUGCCCCACAGUCCCAGGGAGAGUCUAGAGGAACCCUGACGAGGCUGGAAGUGGAGGCCACUUACUUCGCAUCACACUGUCCUCACGACAAGACUUCAGGCAGCACAUCUGUGUCUACUGCACACACCGAGCACUGGGUGUCUGACUCCAUGCCAAACCCCGGAUUAAGUAGGAUGAGGUCCUAAGAACCAGUGGCCCCGAGACUGGCAAUGCUACAGUAGUCAGCUAACGUAGCUGUCUGGGAACUCACCUGGGCACCCUGCUCUUCCUCCUGCACGAAAUAAAUGAACUCUGUCUCUGAAUCAACUCUUCCCGCACCGACUGCUCAGAGACACUCUGGGGGUGUCUGGUCCUCCUUGAUGAGAGAGGAUGCAACCAGAAAACGCCAAUCCAUGGGGGCUGGAGAGAUGGCUUAGUGGUUAAGAGCACCGACUGCUCUUUCUGAGGUCCUGAGUUCAAAUCCCAGCAACCACAUGGUGGUUCACAGCCAUCUGUAAUGGGAUCUGAUGCCCUCUCCUGGUGUCUGAAGACAGCUACAGUGUACUCAUAUACAAUAAAUAAAAUCUUAAAAAGAAAAAAAAAAGAAAGAAAAAGAAAA